CCUCCUUCUCCACUGAUGACAUCUGCACCAACCCCCACCCAACGGUGACUACAGGCCAGGUAAAGAGGCAGCUGGAAAGACUGCAUCAGCGAAAGGCUGCAGGCCCUGAUGGCAUCUCACCCAGGAUCCUGAAGACCUGUGCCAGCCAGCUGUCCCCUGUACUGGGACAUCUGUACAACCUCAGCCUGAGUCAGGAGAAAGUCCCGUUGCUGUGGAAGACCUCCUGCUUGGUCCCAGUCCCCAAGAAGUCGAGGCCAUCCGACCCGGCAGACUACAGGCCAGUCGCCUUAACAUCGCAUGUGAUGAACAUCCUGGAGAGACUGGUCUUAGCCCAGCUGAGGCCACAGGUGAAGACGUUUCUGGAUCCUUUGCAAUUUGCCUAUCAGCCCCAUUUAGGAGUCGAUGAUGCUGUCAUCUACCUGCUGCAACGAGCCCAUAUGCAUCUGGAUGGUGGGGGAGGCACUGUGAGGAUCACAUUCUUUGAUUUCUCCAGUGCUUUCAACACCAUUCAGCCUCUGCUAAUGGGUGAGAAGCUGCGGGUGGUGGGUGUUGACGACACUAUGAUCUCCUGGAUUACUGACUACUUGACAGGCAGGCCACAGUUUGUCCAUCUGGGCAGUCUCCUGUCUGACGUGGUGGUCAGUGAUACAGGAGCUCCACAGGGAACUGUGCCUUCUCCCUUCCUCUUCACCUUAUACACCACUGACUUUCAGUACAACUCUGAGUCAUGUCACCUGCAGAAGUUUUCUGACGGCUCAGCUGUUGUCGGGUGUACAAGGGAGGGAGAUGAGGGUGAGUACAGGCUACUGGCAGACAACUUUGUAGAGUGGUCCGAACAGAAUCACCUGAGGCUGAAUGUCAACAAGACCAGAGAGAUAGUGAUCGACUUCGGUAGGAGGAGGAGGAUGCCUUCACAGCCACUAUGGAUCAGGGGGGAGGUGGAGGAGGUGGAGGACUACAAAUACUUGGGAGUGGUGAUUGGCAACAGACUGGACUGGAAAUCUAACACCGAGGCUGUGUACAAGAAGACUCUAGCAGACUCUAUUUCCUGAGGAAGUUGAGAUCCUUCAACAUGUGCAGCAAUCUUCUACCAGUCUGUUGUUGCCAG
rnacentral:lncRNA from 15 species